UUUGAUUUGCGAAGGGUUCGUUCAGUUGCUUAAGAGUGUGUGUGCGCGAGUGGGAGUGGAUUGGAUCGGUGUGGUGACAGGGAACGAGACGGGCCACGCCACAGCGGCCUCUUAACGGACAAGCUGUUCCCGUCUAGUCAAUUGUCAAUCACAGGUAGUCAAGACACAGCACGCACACACACACAUGGAGUGGCACAAUCGUCAGCUGUUAUCACUGCACUGGACUGAAUUGCAAGAGACACGCAGGAAAAGGACAGAACGUAAGAGAAAAAACCAAAUUGCAAUUGUCCUGGUUUGGUGACUGCUGCUGUGGAGCGCCUUGAGGGAACGAUGACAUGACUGCCCUUCUACCUGAAAUGAGCACUUUGUGGAGUAUGAUUUCUAUUAACUUGAAAUAUGAACUAUGAACCAAAUUGUACAUUGGUUUACAUGUAUGUACAUAUAUUCAACAAAUGCCUGUGCUGGUUGAAGCAGUCGCAGAGCAGGCUGGCACGUUCAAAAGUCUAGGAAGGCAGCAAGGACAGGGGCAAACAGUCGCCAAAUAUUUCCCUGUUUUAACAGACCAGGGACCUCAAGAGCUGGACAUGCAAAUAAACAGCACAAAUAGAGUGUUCUUUUUACAGAUUGAUACAAUAAGGAAAAUGUUAUUACCGAGCGGCGUUUCAAAUAAUUUGAAAUAUGUUUUGGCCAAUUAAGAUGUGUUGGCAUAUAACGAGAAUGGGCUGCAAGGCAAGUUUGCGCUAAAAAAUUUAAAGAAGUUUUAUGGAGUUUUGAUUGGAAGGCUUUUUUGUUUUUUUGUAUGCCUAUUAUAUCUGUAUUAUAUAUUUAUAGAUGCUGGAUCAGCUGAAGUCCAGCUUAGGAAGGCCCUUCAGCUGCAAAAAAACGUUAUUUUUAAAACAGUACCACCGCGAACAGCAGAACAUAUAUUUAAGUAAAUUUCAAAAUUAAAAUGAAAUGAAAUGCAGAUUGAUAACCAACUAGAGGUACCCAUUCCACUAGCUACUAGACGACCCAUAUCACCAUAUCAUUGCGGGCAAAAAUGGAAAUGAUGAAAAGCAUUGUUAAGGGUUAGUAAAGAAAGUACCCCUGGUCGGUUAGUGAGUGGUGAUAUCACCACCUCCGAACUAGUUCCCAGUGCUGCUGGGAAAAGAGAGUGCGUUGAGUCAAUUUGCCGCCUUGUAUAAUGCCGUCAUGAGCGGGCUCAAUCCCGCACACACACAUGGACACACACUAACACAUAUGAAGCUCAGGGAGCUUAUACGGGAGAAAAAUGAAAUGAGAGACUCCACGCAGGUCGGUGAAGCAGAAGGAGGAGCAUAGCACGUCCAGGAAGCACGACCAGGUGGACUUCUACCUCACACAAGCGCUGAGCGGAAAUCAGGGAGAAGACACACAACAUGUCCUCUUCGAGUGCUACAGUGUCACGCCACAAAUUCGAUCACUAUAGUGAUAGUGAGGCUAUAGCCUCAGACGGUGGGCAAGGAUCAGCGCCGAGCCUUUUUGAAGAGCGUUUUGACACUUUUCGCGGCUCACAACUCUCCCGCUCGUUUUUACUUCUCAUCAGACGCUCUGCGCUUGCCCACAAUUGCACAAAUUGUUUAAAAAUGUACAUAUAUGUACAUACAUAUGUACAUAUGGAGUUAAUCAAUUUUCGGAACUUAUUUGGAUGCCUUAGGGUCAAUGUGUCACGGCCAUGGCAUCCAGCACAUUUUGAACCAUUUUUUCUCAAAAUUUAGCGGCACUGAAAACACUCAAACACCCAAUUGGGUAAUUCGCCUUCGAUCGGUUUUGCCCUAGGAAGGAAUUAAACUAAGGUUAUUUCAAAAAACUUGACUAUGUUUUAGUAACAAACGAGGGGGAACGUUGGGAGUUGCUGCGGACACCGCAACUCUACAGUUAUACCCGAAUACUAAGUCAGUAUGGCUCUCCUCGGCAGAGACGCCGCUUAUAUUAAUCGACACGAC
rnacentral:sRNA from 1 species